UACGUAGGGGGCAAGCGUUGUCCGGAUUUAUUGGGCGUAAAGAGCGUGUAGGCGGUUUGGUAGGUCCGCUGUGAAAACUCGAGGCUCAACCUCGAGACGCCGGUGGAAACCAUCAGACUAGAGUCCGGAGGAGGAGAGUGGAAUUCCUGGUGUAGCGGUGGAAUGCGCAGAUAUCAGGAGGAACACCGAUAGCGAAGGCAGCUCGCUGGGACGGUACUGACGCUGAGGCGCGAAAGCGUGGGGAGCGAACAGG
rnacentral:rRNA from 1 species